UGGGGAAUUUUGGACAAUGGGGGAAACCCUGAUCCAGCCAUCCCGCGUGUGCGAUGAAGGCCUUCGGGUUGUAAAGCACUUUUGGCAGGAAAGAAACGUCAUGGGUUAAUACCCCGUGAAACUGACGGUACCUGCAGAAUAAGCACCGGCUAACUACGUGCCAGCAGCCGCGGUAAUAUGUAGGGUGCAAGCGUUAAUCGGAAUUACUGGGCGUAAAGCGUGCGCAGGCGGUUCGGAAAGAAAGAUGUGAAAUCCCAGAGCUCAACUUUGGAACUGCAUUUUUAACUACCGGGCUAGAGUGUGUCAGAGGGAGGUGGAAUUCCGCGUGUAGCAGUGAAAUGCGUAGAUAUGCGGAGGAACACCGAUGGCGAGGGCAGACUCCUGGGAUAACACAGACGCUCAUGCACGAAAGCGUGGGGAGCAAACAGG
rnacentral:rRNA from 1 species